rnacentral:rRNA from 1 species
AUUGAACGCUGGCGGAAUGCUUUACGCAUGCAAGUCGAACGGUAGAGGGGGCAACCCCUCGAGAGUGGCGAACGGGUGAGUAAUAUAUCGGAACGUGCCCAGUCGUGGGGGAUAACGUAGCGAAAGUUACGCUAAUACCGCAUACGAUCUACGGAUGAAAGCGGGGGAUCGCAAGACCUCGCGCGAUUGGAGCGGCCGAUAUCAGAUUAGGUAGUCGGUGGGGUAAAGGCUCACCAAGCCAACGAUCUGUAGCUGGGCUGAGAGGACGACCAGCCACACUGGAACUGAGACACGGUCCAGACUCCUACGGGAGGCAGCAGUGGGGAAUUUUGGACAAUGGACGCAAGUCUGAUCCAGCCAUUCCGCGUGCAGGAUGAAGGCCCUCGGGUUGUAAACUGCUUUUGUACGGAACGAAAAGGUUUCCAUUAAUACUGGGAGCACAUGACGGUACCGUAAGAAUAAGCACCGGCUAACUACGUGCCAGCCGCCGCAGUAA